CUAUGGUUUAUUGGAUCUUACCCGUUAAAUGGAUAACUGUAAUAACUCUAGAGCUAAUACAUGCCUCGAUGCCCUGACCGCGCUGACCGCUUGGCGGGUCUCUCGACCUGCCGGCUGGACGGCGGGGAUGGGUGCACUUAUUAGAUCAGAAGCCAACCGACUGCGUGCAUGCGGCUUUGAGUGGUCGCUGCGCGGGUUGAGGCACUUCUGGUGACUCUGGAUAAUUGUUACAGAUCGCAGUUGGCCGUGUGUCGGCGACGGAUCCUUCAAAUGUCUGCCCUAUCAACUUUCGAUGGUAGGUGACCUGCCUACCAUGGUGAUAACGGGUAACGGGGAAUCAGGGUUCGAUUCCGGAGAGGGAGCCUGAGAAACGGCUACCACUUCCAAGGGAGGCAGCAGGCGCGCAAAUUACCCACUCCCAGCACGGGGAGGUGGUGACGAAAAAUACCGAUGCGGGACUCCUUAAAGAGGCUCCGUAAUCGGAAUGAGUGGACUCUAAAUCCUUUCACGAGGAUCAAUUGGAGGGCAAGUCUGGUGCCAGCAGCCGCGGUAACUCCAGCUCCAAUAGCGUAUAUUAAAGUUGCUGCAGUUAAAAAGCUCGUAGUUGGAUCUCGGUUGCAUUGUCGCCUCCCGGUACUUGGGCGGCUGGUGUGUGGCCUACGGUGCACUGUAGUGGUGUUGCUGCGCCGGCCCGUCUGUCUGUUCGCCUGUUCGUUGGCUCGCCUUGUCGCUGAUCGCCUGAUCGCCCGCCCGUUAUGAGGUGCGCGUGACUGCGUGCGGAGUGUCGCCUGGCGGUCUGUGUUCCGCCAUCGUGUGGCCUCUUCGCGUGGGCCAUUGUGUGCUUGCGGUGUUGACGGUGUUGACGAUUUUGGCGGUGUUGGCGAGCGGCGCCAGCGGGGGCAUUUGGUGGUGGCGGCGCUGUGGCGGUGUUGCCGGGGCCAUUAAUUAGCACUGUCGCGUCAAGCUGGGGGGUCGGCGGUGCCACCUUUGAGCCAUGUCUGUGGCCUCACGGUCGCAGGUGUGGGCGGGUGUCGGAUAGGGCCCUGCAUACGCUGUGGGGCCUGUCGGCCCGUCUGCAUGCCUUUGGAUGCCCUUCAAAAGGUGUCUGUGGGCGGAUGGCACGUUUACUUUGAACAAAUUUGAGUGCUCAAAUCAGGCCGAGGUUGCCUGAAAAGUUUUGCAUGGAAUAAUGGAAUAGGACUUCGGUUCUAUUUCGUUGGUUUUCGGAUCCGAAGUAAUGAUCAAUAGAGACAGGCGGGGACGUUUGUAUGGCUGCGCUAGAGGUGAAAUUCAUGGACCGUAGCCAGACAGACUAAAGCGAAAGCAUUCGUCAAGCAUGUUUUCAUUGGCCAUGAGCGAAAGUCAGAGGCUCGAAGACGAUCAGAUACCGUCCUAGUUCUGACCAUAAACGAUGCCAACUGACGAUCCGUGGUGGUAGUGCAGAAGCAACCUUCCCCACGGGCAGUCCCCGGGAAACCCUUAAGUCUUUGGGUUCCGGGGGAAGUAUGGUUGCAAAGCUGAAACUUAAAGGAAUUGACGGAAGGGCACCACCAGGAGUGGAGCCUGCGGCUUAAUUUGACUCAACACGGGAAAACUCACCCGGGCCGGACACUAUGAGGAUUGACAGAUUGAUGGCUCUUUCUUGAUUUGGUGGUUGGUGGUGCAUGGCCGUUCUUAGUUGGUGGAGCGAUUUGUCUGGUUAAUUCCGAUAACGAACGAGACUCCAACCUGCUAAUUAGUGCGUUUGUCCACUGCUCCUGUGUAGGCGGUGCUGGACGAGGCUGCUGUCGUGGGCGUGAUGCCUUCUCCAUGUCCUCGUCCUCCUCCUCCUCCUCCUCCUCCUCCUCCUCGCGUCCUUCCUCCGCCUCCUCCGCCUCCUUCGGAUGGAUGGGUGGACGGAUGGAUGGAUGGAUGGAUGGAUGGAUGGGUGGGUGGGUGGACGGUUGGGCGGAUGGACGUGGGGUUGGUGCUUGCGGCGGUCGGCCGGUCGGGCGUUAGCCACCGGGUGCGGCGCGAAUGCCUACUUCUUAGAGGGACAAGCGGGAGAAGCCGCACGAAAUAGAGCAAUAACAGGUCUGUGAUGCCCUUAGAUGUCCGGGGCCGCACGCGCGCUACAUUGACGGUGCCAGCGAGUGAGACCUUCUGGCCUGAGAGGGCUGGGUAAACUGGUCAAUCACCGUCACGACAGGGAUCGGGGCUUGGAAUUGUCCCCCGUGAACGAGGAAUUCCUAGUAAGUGCAAGUCAUAAGCUUGCGCUGAUUACGUCCCUGCCCUUUGUACACACCGCCCGUCGCUACUACCGAUUGAAUGGUUUAGUAAGGUCCUUGGAUCGGUGCCAUUGUGACGCUCGCCGAGAGGGGAUCGUCCGGCAGGCGCUGAGAAGACGACCGAACUUGAUCAUUUAGA
rnacentral:rRNA from 1 species